UACGCAGGGUGCGAGCGUUAAUCGGAAUCACUGGGCGUAAAGCGUGCGCAGGCGGCUUCCUAAGUCAGGUGUGAAAUCCCGGGGCUUAACCUGGGAACUGCCCUUGUGACUGGCGAGCUUGAGUGCGGGAGAGGGAGGUGGAACUCCGAGUGUAGCAGUGAAAUGCGUAGAUAUUCGGAGGAACACCGGUGGCGAAGGCAGCCUCCUGGUCCAGUACUGACGCUGAUGCGCGAAAGCGUGGGGAGCAAACAGG
rnacentral:rRNA from 1 species